AUGCGCGAGCCGGCCGAGGCGCGCCCCCUGCAGGACCCCGAGCGGCCAGGUCCUCCGCCCGUCGUGGGUCUCAGGCUCCCCUUCCCCGCCGCGGCGGCCUACCAGUUGUCAGCAGCGGUCGCCGCCGCCGCGAGGCCAGAGCAGAGCCGGGAGCCGAGGGAGGGGGCCCCGCGAGAGGGCAGCGCCCCGGCCGCCGCCGCCCGGGCGCUAAGGGUCGGUGGCCGGAGUGUCAUGCCAGCGAGCCCCAGGCCCUUCCUGAUGUCCUGUGAGGCGUCAGUGCUCCCGAGCUCCAAGGUCAGCCCACUGCACUCCAGAGGCCUACCGGCCCCACCCCAGAGCCCUCUGUGCAGGGCCACCUCCUCCCAGCCAGACCUCCUGUAGCCCCAGAGGAAGGCCUCAGCCAGGAGCCUCUGCCAGGACUCAGACUUUUCCAGAAAAGGAAGUCAUCGACUUCUCUGACCAGAAGACUCCUUUGAACUGUGACCUUUCCACAUUCCCCUCUUGGUAGAGGAGGAACCUUCAUCUGGGCCA
rnacentral:lncRNA from 1 species